UUGCUUUGGCAGCACAUAUACUAAAUUUGGAAUGAUACAGAGAAGAUUAGCAUGGCCCCUGCACAAGGAUGACACACAAAUUCAUGAAGCAUUCCAUUAAAAA
rnacentral:snRNA from 2 species